rnacentral:tRNA from 1 species
CCUGACGUAGCUCAGCGGUAGAGCACCCGGCUUCCAACCGGGAGGGCGUGAGUUCGAGCCUCGCCGCCAGGU